rnacentral:rRNA from 1 species
UACAGAGGGUGCAAGCGUUAAUCGGAAUUACUGGGCGUAAAGCGUGCGUAGACGGUUAUUUAAGUCGGGUGUGAAAGCCCCGGGCUCAACCUGGGAAUUGCAUUCGAGACUGAAUAGCUAGGGUGCGGAAGAGGGAAGCGGAAUUUCCGGUGUAGCGGUGAAAUGCGUAGAUAUCGGAAGGAACACCAGUGGCGAAGGCGGCUUCCUGGUCCAGCACCGACGUUCAGGCACGAAAGCGUGGGGAGCAAACAGG